rnacentral:rRNA from 1 species
CUAAAAGCCAUCCCAGUUCGGAUCGCAGGCUGCAACCCGCCUGCGUGAAGUUGGAAUCGCUAGUAAUCGCGGAUCAGCAUGCCGCGGUGAAUACGUUCCCGGGCCUUGUACACACCGCCCGUCACACCAUGAGAGUCGGGAACACCCGAAGUCCGUAGCCUAACUGCAAAGGGGGCGCGGCCGAAGGUGGGUUCGAUAAUUGGGGUGAAGUCGUAACAAGGUAUC